rnacentral:rRNA from 1 species
GGAGUGGUGCUAACCAAAGAUAACCUCGUCCGUCGCAACUGUCAAGGAAGUAAGAAGUGUAGCUUUUGUACUCAUGACGAAACAAUUAGACAUCUCUUUUUUCAGUGCAAGUUUGCGUGUUCUACGUGGUCAAUCAUCCAAAUAGCGUCUAAUCUUUAUCCGCCAACAGGUGUUGCCAAUAUUUUUGUCAUUGGCUGGAUGGUAUUCCUUAUAGAUUCAAAACGCUAA